AACGCAUUGAAAAUAUCCUUCCGUUUCACGGUCUCCAGCCUGAUGAUUGCAAUCUUUUCAAAACGGGCGCCCACGACAACCACUCCUCCCGAAAAAAUCAAAAUGCCGACGCGGUAAAAAUUCCGCUUUUACCCCUUCUCAGACCACCUUUAAAUAUCAGCAUGUCCUGUACUCCCCUUACGAGCUCACGUCUUCCUUCUUUAGCACACGGGCCUUCUUCUUCCUCCGGCGCCUUCCUUAGCUUCCAG
rnacentral:lncRNA from 1 species